CACGUAGGGUGCGAGCGUUGUCCGGAAUUAUUGGGCGUAAAGAGCUCGUAGGCGGUCUGUCGCGUCGAUCGUGAAAACUUGGGGCUUAACCCUGAGCUUGCGGUCGAUACGGGCAUGACUGGAGUUCGGCAGGGGAGACUGGAAUUCCUGGUGUAGCGGUGAAAUGCGCAGAUAUCAGGAGGAACACCGGUGGCGAAGGCGGGUCUCUGGGCCGAUACUGACGCUGAGGCGCGAAAGCUAGGGGAGCAAACGGG
rnacentral:rRNA from 1 species